rnacentral:rRNA from 1 species
AGGGCCGCGGUAAUUUGACCGUGCGAAGGUAGCAUAAUCAUUAGUCUUUUAAUUGAAGGCUUGAAUGAACGGUUGGACGAGAUAUAAGCUGUCUCUAUAAUGAGGUAGAAUUUAACUUUUGAGUGAAAAGGCUUAGAUGGAUUAGGGGGACGAUAAGACCCUAUAAAACUUUAUACAGCGCGGUGCAUUUAAAGGAUUUAGUUUAAAUUGGUAUGUAUUGGUCUGUAUUUUGUUGGGGAGACAAAAAUAUAAUUUGUAACUGUUGGUGUAAUGUAAUAUAAAUUAAUAGGUUUUGAUCCUUUACUAGAGAUUAAAAGGUUAAGUUACUUUAGGGAUAACAGCGUAAUUUCUUUUGAGAGUUCUUAUCGACAAAGGUAGUUGCGACCUCGAUGUUGAAUUAAAAUUUUAAUUGGGUGUAGCAGCUUGGUUGGUAGGUCUGUUCGACCUUUAAAAUUUU